CAGUCAGUAACGAAAAUAAAACAGUCACACGACGUCAGCCACAAGCCUGAAAAAUUUAUUGUUCUAUUCAUACAACGUGCCCUAAUCGAUAUGUCCAGACUGUAUGGCCCGGUGCAAUUUGUCCGCUUAUUCGAAAAUUAACUAUGGCCCCGAAAUUAUUUAAUAACGCGUCCAUUAACACGAAGAAUUUCAGCGGCAGCUGUGACAAGUGGCUACAAUUCGUCAUUUUGAAAUUAAAAACCGACCACUAAUUCAUCGGGGGUUGGAUUCAGCUGAGAAAAGGCUGCCGGCGACAUCUGAAUGACGAGAUACAACGCGGCGAUGAAAAGAAGAUGUUAGCGCUCAACACGCGCCAUUAGUUCGACGUUUUGUCUGAAUUUCGCGAAGCCCUUCUUCAAAUGAAGUGUAAACAUGAAAGAUGGGAAGGUGGUGCCGAUGUGUAAUCGCCAAAUUGCGAAUUUACAAUGAAUGCCGGGCCAGCGACUUCGCAAACGCUCAAAAAAUACCGCGGGUAUAAAUUAUAGUCACCGCAUGAUGGCGGGCGUGCCUUUCUCGUAAAACAAGCAAUGAAUCUUCAUCUGUUCGCAGCUUCUUUGCCGUCUUUCAUUUUGCUCAAAGAACAAUGUACUCCCACGAAAGAGAUUAAAAUUUCAUCGCGAUUUGAAACAAUUUGAACUGAUCCGUGCUCCAUGUCAGGAGUCGGACAAUAGAGCGUCAACACAUCAGCGUUUUUAUUAAAUCUGGCGCACCUUUUCGUGCAACAAAGGCACCAGAUCGCAAGUAGGACGCAGAAGAUCGAAAGCAGACGCGAUGCAUAAUUGAUGCAGAACUGACUGCAUUAUGUUUGUAUUGUAAACAGUACAUUACCGGAUCAAUUCUGAACCGGAUUUUUUUGAAAGCGAUAAGUGGUUUCGCCAUGUCGCCGCCCAUCCGAAAGAAAAUUAAUUAAUAAUUGAUGAGCCGAUGUGGCGCAAACGACUUACGUGCCUGAUCAAUUUUUCAGUGAGUCGGCGGACAACUUUCGGUCUUACCUGAACAAAAAGAAUUAAGUGAGCUGGAGAAGUUAACGUUGCCCGUACACAGUCGAGCCUUAAAAGAUUGUGGAAGUUGCUCGUUUGAAGUGGCAAAUUAAAAGAUGCGGUCAUUAUUAUGAAAUAUUUUAUUAAACGGUUCGGCGGAACUGACGUGGAAUCUUUCAAGUACCUGAAACUUUCGUGUCGGAACUUCUUGCUUCAAAAACAAAACGUUUUGUGUACGCAUUAACAUGUAAAAGAGGAAAUGCACUAGUUGCGCCAAAGUUUUUUCAAGUAACCACUUGUGGCAAAUGUGAAGACAAAGCAGCUAAAUCCUGAACAGCCGACUUGUGGAAAAAGCGGGAUAAAGCCAACAGUAAAAGUGAGUAGCUUGCUUUUGUAGUCAUGUGGAUUUAGCAUUCGCAACAAAAAAGUUCGAAAAGGUGUGUGUAAAGCAGUCCCUUCAAAAAGAACCGAACGAAGCUUUUGUUUCACUAAAUGAUAAGGCAUGAUUUCCAUGAUAAGCUCGGAUGGUGCACAAUGGAAGAAGCAAUUGGCUCGUCUGCUACACCAUCAGUUCAUUUUGAAGUUAUCAGAUUAUAAAAUAGACGUGUUAUUUGAUGACGGCGAGACGAGCUUAUUAGGAAUCAUAUUACAUUACAUUUACCUGAGAGUGCUUCCAUAUUCGAGAAGCUCGCUUUAGCGAAGGUUUUUACAGUAAAAUGCUAAAUUAAUAUUUGAUCAAACAGACAGAGAAAUACGUCGGAUGUGAAAUUCAGCAUGAAUUGUUUCUUUAACACGGCUAUGGAGUGUUAUUACGAAAGUCAGGCGGCUGAAUUAGUAAUCGCUUCAUGCCUUACUACUGAUUAUCCUGCCAAUCACCGUGCAUAAUCGGAGGAUGUAAUCUAUUAAUAAACUUGUUACAGACUAUGCAUGUUAAAAUAUCUUGUAACGAAGACCAUCGUUACUUUAGCUAUUAUACUCCCGAUACACUUCUUUAUCUUAAACAAUGCCCGAGAA